rnacentral:rRNA from 1 species
GAUGAACGCUGGCGGCGUGCCUAAUACAUGCAAGUCGAACGCGCAGCGAAAGGUGCUUGCACCUUUCAAGCGAGUGGCGAACGGGUGAGUAACACGUGGAUAACCUGCCUCAAGGCUGGGGAUAACAUUUGGAAACAGAUGCUAAUACCGAAUAAAACUUAGUAUCGCACGAUACAAAGUUAAAAGGCGCUACGGCGUCACCUAGAGAUGGAUCCGCGGUGCAUUAGUUAGUUGGUGGGGUAAAGGCUUACCAAGACGAUGAUGCAUAGCCGAGUGGAGGGACUGAUCGGCCACAUUGGGACUGGGACACGGCCCCAACUCCUACGGGAGGCUGCAGUAGGGAAUCUUCCACAAUGGGCGCAAGCCUGAUGGAGCAACGCGGCGUGUGUGAUGAAGGCUUUCGGGUCGUAAAGCACUGUUGUAUGGGAAGAAAUGCUAAAAUAGGGAAUGAUUUUAGUUUGACGGUACCAUACCAGAAAGGGACGGCUAAAUACGUGCCAGCCGCCGCCGUAA